CCUACGGGUGGCUGCAGUGGGGAAUAUUGGGCAAUGGGCGCAAGCCUGACCCAGCAACGCCGCGUGAAGGAAGAAGGCCCUCGGGUUGUAAACUUCUUUUAACAGGGACGAAGAAAGUGACGGUACCAGUUGAAUAAGCCACGGCUAACUACGCGCCAGCAGCCGCGGUAAUGCGUGGGAUGCAAGCGUUCUCCGGAGUUAUGGGGUUUAAAGGGUGCGUAGGCGGUGAGUUAAGGCCGCGGGGAAAUGCCCCCGCUCAACGGGGUGACGUGCCAUUGAUACUGCCUUGCUGGAGUGCGGAUGCCGUGGGAGGAAUGUGUGGUGUAGCGGUUAACUGCAUAGAUAUCACACAGAACACCGAUUGCGACGGCAUCUCACGAAUCCGCGAUUGACGCUGAUGCACGAAAGCGUGGGUAUCAAACAGGAUUAGCUACCCUAGUAGUC
rnacentral:rRNA from 1 species